GCGGGUGUAGUUCAAUGGUAGAACGAAAGCUUCCCAAGCUUUAGGCGAGGGUUCGAUUCCCUCUACCCGCUCCA
rnacentral:tRNA from 1 species